rnacentral:rRNA from 1 species
UUCCGGUUGAUCCUGCCGGACCYGACUGCUAUCGGAGUAGGACUAAGCCAUGCGAGUCGUACGUCCUUUGACUAUGCGAGGGGCGUGGCGAACGGCUCAGUAACACGUAGUUAAUCUACCCUGAAGAUGUGGAUAACCCCGGGAAACUGGGAUUAAUAUGCGAUAAGGGAAAACUUCUGGAAUGGGUUUUCCUUGAAAAGGGUGAGUAGGCAUGACUCAUUUGUUUCAGGAUGGGACUGCGACCGAUCAGGUUGUUGGUGGGGUAAUGGCCUACCAAGCCUUCUACCGGUACGGGCUUUGAGAGAAGGAGCCUGGAGAUGGACACUGAGAUAAGGGUCCAGGUCCUACGGGGCGCAGCAGGCGCGAAAACUUCGCAAUGUGCGAAAGCGCGACGAGGCUACCCCGAGUGUCAUCCGCUGAGGAUGACUUUUACUAAGUCCAAAUAGCUUAGAGAAUAAGGGGAGGGCAAGACUGGUGUCAGCCGCCGCGGUAAUACCAGCUCCCCGAGUGGUUGGGACGAUUAUUGGGCCUAAAGCAUCCGUAGCCGGCUCUAUGAGUCUUCCGUUAAAUUCAACGGCUCAACCGUUGAGCUGCGGGAGAUACCGUAGGGCUAGGAGGCGGGAGAGGCGGACGGUAUUCCAUGGGUAGGGGUAAAAUCUUCUGAACCAUGGAGGACCACCAGUGGCGAAGGCGGUCCGCCAGAACGCGCUCGACGGUGAGGGAUGAAAGCUGGGGGAGCGAACCGGAUUAGAUACCCGGGUAGUCCCAGCUGUAAACUUUGCGAGCUAGGUGAUGGGGUGGCUACGAGCCACUCCAGUGCCGCAGGGAAGCCGUUAAGCUCGCCGCCUGGGGAGUACGGUCGCAAGACUGAAACUUAAAGGAAUUGGCGGGGGAGCAC